rnacentral:rRNA from 1 species
GACGAACGCUGGCGGCGUGCCUAAUACAUGCAAGUCGAACGCACUCUCGUUUAGAUUGAAGGAGCUUGCUCCUGAUUGAUAAACAUUUGAGUGAGUGGCGGACGGGUGAGUAACACGUGGGUAACCUGCCCUAAAGUGGGGGAUAACAUUUGGAAACAGAUGCUAAUACCGCAUAAAACCUAACACCGCAUGGUGUAGGGUUGAAAGAUGGUUUCGGCUAUCACUUUAGGAUGGACCCGCGGUGCAUUAGUUAGUUGGUGAGGUAAAGGCUCACCAAGACCGUGAUGCAUAGCCGACCUGAGAGGGUAAUCGGCCACACUGGGACUGAGACACGGCCCAGACUCCUACGGGAGGCAGCAGUAGGGAAUCUUCCACAAUGGACGAAAGUCUGAUGGAGCAACGCCGCGUGAGUGAAGAAGGUUUUCGGAUCGUAAA